rnacentral:rRNA from 1 species
UGCGUAGGCGGAAGAUUAAGUCAGUGAUGAAAUCCUGCAGCUCAACUGUAGAACUGUCAUUGAUACUGAUUUUCUUGAAUACAGUUGAGGUAGGCGGAAUAUGUAAUGUAGCGGUGAAAUGCUUAGAUAUUACAUAGAACACCAAUUGCGAAGGCAGCUUACUAAACUGUGAUUGACGCUGAGGCACGAAAGCGUGGGGAGCGAACAGGAUUAGAUACCCUGGUAGUCC